rnacentral:misc_RNA from 1 species
GAUGAAGAACGUAGCGAAAUGCGAUAAGUAAUGUGAAUUGCAGAAUUCAGUGAAUCAUCGAAUCUUUGAACGCACAUUGCGCCCGCCAGUAUUCUGGCGGGCAUGCCUGUUCGAGCGUCAUUUCAACCAUCAAGCCCCAGGCUUGUGUUGGGGACCUGCGGCUGCCGCAGGCCCUGAAAACCAGUGGCGGGCUCGCUGUCACACCGGGCGUAGUAGAUUUUAUCUCGCUCAGGGCGUGCUGCGGGUUCCGGCCGUUAAAAAGCCUUUUUUACCCAAGGUUGACCUCGGAUCAGGUAGGAAUACCCGCUGAACUUAAGCAUAUCAAUGAGCGGAGGA